GAUGAACGCUGGCGGCGUGCCUAAUACAUGCAAGUCGAGCGAACAGACGAGGAGCUUGCUCCUCUGACGUUAGCGGCGGACGGGUGAGUAACACGUGGAUAACCUACCUAUAAGACUGGGAUAACUUCGGGAAACCGGAGCUAAUACCGGAUAAUAUAUUGAACCGCAUGGUUCAAUAGUGAAAGACGGUUUUGCUGUCACUUAUAGAUGGAUCCGCGCCGCAUUAGCUAGUUGGUAAGGUAACGGCUUACCAAGGCAACGAUGCGUAGCCGACCUGAGAGGGUGAUCGGCCAAACUGGAACUGAGACACGGUCCAGACUCCUACGGGAGGCAGCAGUAGGGAAUCUUCCGCAGUGGGCGAAAGCCUGACGGAGCAACGCCGCGUGAGUGAUGAAGGUCUUCGGAUCGUAAAACUCUGUUAUUAGGGAAGAACAAAUGUGUAAGUAACUAUGCACGUCUUGACGGUACCUAAUCAGAAAGCCACGGCUAACUACGUG
rnacentral:rRNA from 1 species